AACUAUUCCAAUACCAGGCUCCCCCUGAACAUCAUUACUAUGAUACUCCCUCUGAGCACUAGAAUAUCCAGGCGUGCAUAAAGAGUCACCCAAAAGAAGUAAUUCUGGUGUCCUAUUAUCAGAUGGACGACUUUCAUAAUAAGCUUCAGUUUCUCGAAAAGUAACAUCCAUAGUGAUAAGCAUUCGUCGCUCAGGAGGGUAAUAGCACUUGUAUCCCUUUUGAGCAGCAGGAUAACCAACAA
rnacentral:lncRNA from 1 species